GGGCCGUUAGCUCAGUCGGUAGAGCAUCUGACUUUUAAUCAGGUGGUCGCUGGUUCGAACCCAGCACGGCCCACCA
rnacentral:tRNA from 3 species